rnacentral:rRNA from 1 species
GAGUUUGAUCCUGGCUCAGAACGAACGCUGGCGGCAGGCCUAACACAUGCAAGUCGAGCGGCACCUUCGGGUGUAGCGGCGGACGGGUUAGUAACGCGUGGGAACGUGCCCUUCUCUACGGAAUAGCCUCGGGAAACUGAGAGUAAUACCGUAUACGCCCUUCGGGGGAAAGAUUUAUCGGAGAAGGAUCGGCCCGCGUCUGAUUAGAUAGUUGGUGGGGUAAUGGCCUACCAAGUCUACGACCAGUAGCUGGUUUUAGAGGAUGAUCAGCAACACUGGGACUGAGACACGGCCCAGACUCCUACGGGAGGCAGCAGUGGGGAAUCUUAGACAAUGGGCGCAAGCCUGAUCUAGCCAUGCCGCGUGAGUGAUGAAGGCCUUAGGGUCGUAAAGCUCUUUCGCCAGAGAUGAUAAUGACAGUAUCUGGUAAAGAAACCCCGGCUAACUCCGUGCCAGCAGCCGCGGUAAUACGGAGGGGGUUAGCGUUGUUCGGAAUUACUGGGCGUAAAGCGCACGUAGGCGGAUCAGAAAGUUGGGGGUGAAAUCCCAGGGCUCAACCCUGGAACGGCCCCCAAAACUCCUGGUCUUGAGUUCGAGAGAGGUGAGUGGAAUUCCGAGUGUAGAGGUGAAAUUCGUAGAUAUUCGGAGGAACACCAGUGGCGAAGGCGGCUCACUGGCUCGAUACUGACGCUGAGGUGCGAAAGUGUGGGGAGCAAACAGGAUUAGAUACCCUGGUAGUCCACACCGUAAACGAUGAAUGCCAGUCGUCGGGUAGUAUACUGCUCGGUGACACACCUAACGGAUUAAGCAUUCCGCCUGGGGAGUACGGUCGCAAGAUUAAAACUCAAAGGAAU